UCUUUCCCUGUUACAUGUGAGAAAGGAGACUGGAGUAUUGUUCAAGGGCUCAAGAUCGAUGAAUUCUCACAGGACAAGAUGGACAAAACAGCCGCAGAGCUCGUUGAGGAGAAAGAAUUGGCCAAGUCAUGCCUUAAUUGAGCACCCAUGUUUUCUUGGAAUCACUACUCAAUAAUUGUGGCUCUUGAAAAUAAAAUAAGGGAGACUUUCCUCAACUCAGAAAAAGCAAAAGAAAGUUUCACUCUCUGUCUGAAAUUGUGAUCACUUCAGUUUAUUUUUAUUGUAUGUUUGUAAGAACUUUAGCCCUUCAGGCAAAAGACAUUGUGUUAGUUUAUAUGCUAUAUACUAAAAUAUAUGAAUUCUAGUUCCAUUC